rnacentral:rRNA from 1 species
GAGUUUGAUCAUGGCUCAGAGCGAACGCUGGCGGCAGGCUUAACACAUGCAAGUCGAGCGGCCGUAGCAAUACGGAAGCGGCAGACGGGAGAGUAACACGUGGGAACGUGCCCUUUAGUUCGGAAUAGGCCAGGGAAACUUGGGUUAAUACCGGAUAAGCCCUAACGGGGAAGAUUUAUCGCUAAAGGAUCGGCCCACGUCUGAUUAGCUAGUUGGUGAGGUAAUGGCUCACCAAGGCGACGAUCAGUAGCUGGUCUGAGAGGAUGACCAGCCUCACUGGGACUGAGACACGGCCCAGACUCCUACGGGAGGCAGCAGUGGGGAAUAUUGGACAAUGGGCGCAAGCCUGAUCCAGCCAUGCCGCGUGGGUGAUGAAGGCCCUAGGGUUGUAAAGCCCUUUCGGCGGGAAGA